CCGGCUGCUUUGUUUACCCAAGCAAGCCUGGGCAAUGGCGGGCGCCCCUCCCCCAGCCUUGCUGCGGCCUUGCAGUUUGAUCUCAGACUGCUGUGCUAGCAAUCAGCGAGACUCCGUGGGCGUAGGACCCUCCUAGCCAGGUGCAAGAUAUAAUCUCGCGGUGCGCCGUUUUUUAAGCCGGUCCGAAAGCGCAAUAUUCGGGUGGGAGAGACCCGAUUUUCCAGUGAGAUGAACCCAGUACCUCAGAUGGAAAUGCAGAAAUCACCCGUCUUCUGCGUCGCUCACGCUGGGAGCUGUAGACCGGAGCUGUUGCUAUUCGGCCAUCUUGGCUCCUCUCCUGCACUGCAAGAAUGGACUAAUACGCUAUGUGAAGACAAAGGGGAUGUCUGCAAGCCAGGACGAGUGCGUCUACCAGAAACUGAGUUCUGCUGGACUUUGAUCUAGGACAUCCAGCCUCCAGAAUGGAAUGUGCCAUAUGUGGAGACCUGCAUGGAAAGGAACUGAGGAUGCUCUCUCACUAAAAGCUAGAAGGAACUGAGGCCCUCAGUCAACAGUCUACAAGACACUGAAUCUUGCCAGCAGCCAAGCAGUGAGCUUGAAAGCAGAUCUAUCAUCAGCUGAACCUUCAGAUGAGACCGCAGCCUAAGCAGAUACCUUGGUUGCAGCCAUGUGAGACAACCUGAAACAGAGGGCACAGCUAAGCCUCAGCCAGGUUCAUGACCCUCUGAGGAAACUGUGAGAAAGCAAAUGUCAUUUUAAGCUAUUUAAUUUUGGAGGUAGUUUAUUACACAACAAUAAAUAACUAUUAUAAUUAUCUUGAGGAUUUAUUUCCUGGGGAGAAUACAUGGAAUUGCAUAUAUAGGUCCUCAUAUGCAGAAUACUGGUACCCUAGAGAUGUUCACCCCAGAGAUGUUUUAGGAACCUGUGAAUAUGUUACAUUAAAUGGCAAAGUUUUCCUGGAUGGUUUAAGUUUAAGAUGGAAAAGUUUUACUGGAUUAUCCAGUGGGUCCAAUCUAGUAACAUGAGUCCUUAAAAAUGGAGAAUAUUUUUUGGCCAUGAUCAGAGAGACAUGUGAUGAUGGAAAAAGUGUCAGAGAUGCAAUGUGAGGGGACUAAAACUGCUGUUGCUGACUUUAAAGAUGGAGAGAGGGGAACCCGAGUCAAGGAAUGCAAAUGGCCUCUGGAAGCUGGAAAAAGCAAGAAAUGGAUUCUCCUUUAGAGCCUGUGGAAUAAAAUGCAGUCAUGCUGACACCUUGAUUUUACCUCAGUGAGACCAAUACUGGAGUAUGACCUUCGGAGCUAUGGAGUCUUGCUCUGUCACACAUGCUAGAGUCCAGUGGUAUGACCUCAGCUCACUGCAAUCUCUGCCUCCCGGGUUCAAAUGAUUCUUCUGCCUUGACCUCCCUGGCAGCUGGGACUACAGGCCUGCACCACCACGCCUGGCAAAUUUUUUAAUUUUUUUUAGUAGAGAUGGGGUUUCACCAUGUUGGCCAGGCUAGUCUCGAACUCCUGACCUCAAAUGAUCUGCCCGCUUUGGCCUUCCAAAGUUCUGGGAUUAUAGGAGUGAGCCACCAUGCCCAGCCUGUUCUUAAGUCUCCUAGAACAGGGAUUCUGAAACACAAAACUCAUCUGGCAAAGAGUUCUAAGAUGCAUUUCACAGCACUCCACAGAAGGAAGGUUCAGAGCCAAUCAUCUGCACCAGUGCCCAACUUAAAAACAUCCUUGUAUCAGUUUUCCCUUAUUUCCUGUUCUCCUCCCUAAACCUUCAGUCCUGUUCCUGGCAAUCACUUCCAGAAUAAACCAUAUACAUGCCUCAGAUUCUGAUCUCAGAGGAUCCCAGACUAAUACAGAGAUACACUAUGCUGAUUGCUUAACCCGCAUUUUCUCAUUUAAUUGAAACAUAUACGUGGUAAGGUAUUUAUUCAUACCUGCAUGAUUUUGUAGAUAAACCUUAGAGAAAUUAAUACUUUUCAGAAGGCAAUUAAAGUAACACAGCAAGCAAUUGAUAAAACCUGGAUUCGCCAAGUUAAACUGGUCUGGUUUCAAAACCUGUAUUGUUUCCUAACAUACCACCUAAAUUCUCAAAUGGUAUUGGAAGGGGUUAAAUGAGAUUAUAAAUGUAAAAUUCUUGGUAUAGUUAAUUCUCAAAAAUAGGCCUUCAAUCUAUAGAAUCCAUUUGUAGAACUAUCUUCAGGAAGGAAAAAUACAUCACCCUCCACCCCACCCUCAAAGAAACAUGGAAAAUUUAAACUAAGACUUCAAAUCUUGAGCUCUGCACAUCUUAGAAUAUUUUGUUUCUAUGAAAAAGAAGCUUUGGAGAAUGUGUAUCAGUCUGAAACACUGUAGUGUGAGCACAGAAAUCAGCCCAUCACAUUAUGCCCCAAAUGCUGAAGUACGGCUGAAUCUGAUUGCCCUGCAUUUUUAAGUACUGCAAAAUUCUGGGACUUGGGAUCAUCUGUUACUACAGACUUGUCAUAUUCCACUGAAAUAAAACAUAUAGUCUAAUUUGCAAAGUUCUCGUGUGGAAAGAGUCCUAAAAUGUAUAUAACCUCUGUCCCAGCAAUUCCAUUAGGAAUUUAUCCAAUCCAAAAUCUAAAAUGCAGAAGAUCUACAUAUUGAAUGCUUAUGGCAGCAUUCUUUAAAAUUAUGAAAAUUGAAAGCAACCAAAAUCCUCAAAAACAGACUAAUGGCUAAGUAGUAUAACCAUACUAUGAAAUGUGGUAAUUGAAUAUUCAAAUUUGUGUUGUAUAAAAAAUUAAUAAUGGUAUAACAUUUGGCUAUAAAAUAGAAUGAAUUCAAUUGUAUUUUUUAAACCAGUACAUCUGCAUAUUUGUGAACCUAAAAGAUAAGACGGUAAAUAUUUAACUGUAUUUUUCUUUAAUUGUUGGGGCUGUGAAUUAUUUUAAUUUUCUUAAUGCUUUUUAAUCUUCUCUGAAAAUUUUAUAAUAAUCUCUAAUAAUAAUUUAUAGCAAAAAAACCCAAAAUUUUAAAGGGUAUUCUUUUUGUAUUUUUAUCAAGAAUAAAAAUAUAUAUCAAU
rnacentral:lncRNA from 10 species